rnacentral:rRNA from 1 species
GGUGAACGCUAGCGGCGUGCUUUAGGUAUGCAAGUCGAGCGACGUGUCCGCCCACUUUGUUUCUGAGCAAGAAUAUUUAUUCAAAGCUCGGAGGUAAGGUGGGUGGAUUACGAGCGGCGGACGGGUGAGUAACAAGUGAGAACGUACCCUUUAGUGAGGAAUAACCCGGCGAAAGUCGGGCUAAUACCGCAUAUGAUCGCAAGAUCAAAGGCCAUAACUGGUCGCUAAAGGAGCGGCUCGCUUCCCAUCAGCUUGUUGGUAGGGUAAAAGCCUACCAAGGCUACGACGGGUAGCUGGACUGAGAGGUUGACCAGCCACAAGGGCACUGAGACACGGGGCCCUACUCCUACGGGAGGCGCAAUCGGGAAUCAUAGACAAUGGGCGAAAGCCUGAUCUUGCGACGCCGCGUGGAGGAUGACGGCUC